UCUCUCCCAUUUCUUCUAUAUUUUCUCCUUUAUUUCCUUCCAUCCUUUCUUAUAAAAAAUCUAUUUAUCAAACAAAUCUCCAAAAAGCCAGAGAGAUUUUGGCCCAAAAAUUUUUAGACAUUCAGCAUAUUUCACUAUUUAUUCCGAUUACAUGAGGCAGUAGGGUUGUUCGUUGGACUUUGUCCUAUGAUGAAGAAAAAUCUGUGUGGAAUAUGGGUUUAAUGGAGGAGGUGGAUUUGGGUUUAAGGAUAGAUGAUGAAAACUGAAUUCAGAUGAAGGAAUAUUGUGCUUAUAGUGUCAUGGACUGCGGGAAGGUGCCAAUUAAGGAACAUUUUCUUCAAAAUAAUAUGAUGGUGUCGAGCAGCUCCGAUGGCUGACUGAUGGCGGAGUAGUGGUGAAUUGAAAAAUUUAUGGUGGUGGGCGAUUAGAUGGUGGAGAGACGACUGCGGUUCUUGACAAGGGUGGUAAUGGAGCCUCUAUUUGGGGUGGUAAUGGAAUCUCUGUAAUGGGGAUGGUAAUGGUAAUGGUAAUGGAGAUCUUGAUAGGGGUAUUUGGGAAGGUGAAACUAGGGUUGGAAAGUGGGCGGGUUGGGCUGAAUUUGGGCGGUUAAAGAUGGGUUAGUUCAAUAAUCGGGUCAUUCUUCGACCCAACCCAAAGUGUAUUUGGGUUAAGAUGGACUGGGUCAAGAUGGGCUAAACAAUGGGUCAUAACCCAACCCACCCAACUUGACACAUGUUUUAGAACCAUGCUCAUCUUGCAUAAAAAAAUCUUUUACCUUAAAAUAUAUAAGUCGAU
rnacentral:lncRNA from 1 species